UAGGGAAUCUUCGGCAAUGGACGAAAGUCUGACCGAGCAACGCCGCGUGAGUGAAGAAGGCUUUCGGAUCGUAAAACUCUGUUGUUAGAGAAGAACAAGGACGUUAGUAACUGAACGUCCCCUGACGGUAUCUAACCAGAAAGCCACGGCUAACUACGUGCCAGCAGCCGCGGUAAUACGUAGGUGGCAAGCGUUGUCCGGAUUUAUUGGGCGUAAAGCGAGCGCAGGCGGUUUCUUAAGUCUGAUGUGAAAGCCCCCGGCUCAACCGGGGAGGGUCAUUGGAAACUGGAAGACUUGAGUGCAGAAGAGGAGAGUGGAAUUCCAUGUGUAGCGGUGAAAUGCGUAGAUAUAUGGAGGAACACCAGUGGCGAAGGCGGCUCUCUGGUCUGUAACUGACGCUGAGGCUCGAAAGCGUGGGGAGCAAACAGG
rnacentral:rRNA from 1 species